GACGAACGCUGGCGGCGUGCUUAACACAUGCAAGUCGAACGGAAAGGCCCCCACUUUUUUGGUGGGGGUGCUCGAGUGGCCAACGGGUGAGUAACACGUUGGCGAUCUUCUCUGUACUUCGUGAUUAGCUUGGGCAACUGGGUCUACUACCGGAUAUGUCCAUGCUUUUGUUUCUCUUGGUGGAAAAAUUAUUGUUUUGGUUCAGGAUUAGCUCGCGGCCUCUUAGCUUGUUGGUGGGGUAAUGGCCUACCCAGGCGUCGGCGGGUAGCCGGCCUGAGAGGGUGGACGGCCACAUUGGGAGUGAGAGACGGCCCACAUGCGUACGGGAGGAAUAGGGGGGGAAUAUUGAAGAAUGGGAGCAAGACUGAUGAAGCGAGGGCGAGUGGGGGAGGACGGCGUUCGGGUUGUAAACUCCUUUAGUGAGGAACGAAGGCGCAACUUUUUUGGGAGGGGUGACGGGAACUUGGUUAAGAAGCACCGGCUAACUACGUG
rnacentral:rRNA from 1 species